rnacentral:lncRNA from 1 species
CAUUUGAUCUUAGCUACUAUAGUCAUGUGAUUAAGAGAAGGGGUCUAUUUGAGUCAGAUGCUGCAUUGUUGACAAACUCAGUUACAAAGGCUCAAAUCAUUGAAUUGCUUGAAGGGUCAGUUGAAAAUUUCUUUGCUGAGUUUGCAACCUCCAUGGAGAAAAUGGGAAGAAUUAAUGUAAAGACAGGGACAGAAGGAGAGAUCAGGAAGCAUUGUGCAUUUGUAAAUAGCUAAGAAUCUUGUCUUGUUCAUGGAUGAAUCUUGUAUCAUUUAUUUUUUGGGUUUGGUUAUUUAUGCUAUGCCAUGUUUUUUUAUUAGUUAUGCUAUGCCAUGUGGUGUCUGUCUACAUAUGAGUGAUCCCGUAUGGUAUGGUUGUUGUAUGUGCGAUGGAAUAAGUGGGUUCCAUUGUUAUUCUUAUAAUUUCCAACUUUGCUGGUAGAUCUUGUAAUAAGAAGCAGAAUUUCUUGUGCUACCCACAGCUGAGUUAAUUUAUGUUUAGUUUUUUAUUUAUUGAUGUACUUUUUCACUGAUAUUCUCAAUUUAAUUUCUUUUUUGGUUUAAUUGAAGCUGAAUGCUUGUUCAUUAUUUUUAAACUAUACAAACAGAGAAUGUGAAGAAAGUAUCCAAGGCAAAAGCAACACAAUCCAAUAUAGGCAAAGUUGUACUUGUGAGGUUGUGUUCUAUAAAAUUAUUUCUUCUAGAUCAGAAAUUUUACUUGGUUAUUGAUAAAUUGAUUAUUGAUUAAUAGCAUCUAUCAUUUGGGAAUGAACUGAUAUGUUUUUUAAGCAAAAAAGAAAAACUUUGUUAACUGAACAACAAACUUUGUUGACCAAUAAUUAUUUCUCGUGUUACUGGAUGUGGAUGCAGGGUCCAGUAUUAAAUUUAAGAUAAAAGAAAAGGGAGGUGUGAACAUUACUUUUAUAUUUUUUUUAACCAUGUUAACAUUACCUUUAUAUAAAUAUAAAUUAACUAUUUAUCUGUUUAUAAUAUAUAAAUCUUAGAGAUACAAAAUAUAUUGUCACAUCAGAUUAUUUAUCUGUGUUAAUAUAUGAAAUCAUAUGUGUUAAUAUAUGAAAAUUUUUAUUGUCUAUUAUAUCUCUCCUUUAUUAAAAGAUAUAUAAAUAUACCUAUUCCACUGUCCAUCUAAAUUUAGAUUAAGUUGUCAAAUGUAAUAUUUAUUUUCUUCUCUCCUAAAUCCUCUGCAUUUCCCAAUGCUAUAAUUUUCACAAGAAAUCAAAUACAAGUGAUAUUUAUAAUUCUUUCUGUUAUAUUAUUCUUUAUAAGUGUUUUCGUUAUCGGUAAUUGAAACACCUUUUUGAAAAAAAAGUCUUUUUUAUUAAAAUUCUCUUCAUUUUUCACUCUGAGUUUAAGUAUUGUGAAUUUCUCUUUUAAUGAUUUGGGUUUUGUUGGAUUUUAGAUGAUUCAAAGAUCAUUGGAGAAUGGUGCUAAAUGAGUUAUAACAAUAAACCAAUUAAAAAAACUACAACAAGAUUUGGGAGAUGUUGAGAUCAUCAAAUUUGGGAUACAUCCAACUAAGGAGCUAUUCAUUACUAAUGUAAGUUUUAAUUUUGUUUUCCUAUGAUAAUGUUGAAAUGUUGAUUUUUCCUUAUUCACAUUAAGUUUUUCAUAUUUGCUUAUGUGAAUCCUCUUCUUAAUUUUCACAUAAUCAACUAAUAAAAGGUUAUAAAUUUGAACAAAAAAAUGCCUUCUUUUUUUUUUUCCUGGGCUAAGAGUGUUCGCUUACAUAUAUAAGGUCGGUUAAGUUUUCUACAAGCAUAAAACCACAAUGAAGCUUUGCUUUGAAUGGAAAGGAAUGUGCAUUAGCAUGCUUUUUUUUUUUUUUUCAUUUUAUUAUUACAAUUUAAAACUAUUAGUUGCUGGUUAUAAAUUAUAACAUUACCAUUUAUUAUUAAUAUUUUGAAAUAUCACUUACUCAAUACAAAUUCUAAUAUAAUUAUUACGUUUUGUUAUGAUACAAAUGUCUAAAUUAAUUUUAAUUAAUAAAAUGUUUAUAUUUAUUACAAAUUUUAAUAUAUGAUAUUAUAGAAAUAUUUAAAUUUACUUAAAUCAUUAUUGUAUUAAAAGUUAUAAAUUCAAAUUAAAAUGACAUGACAAUGAGGACAGUUACAUAAAAGAGUUAUAACAUAUCUAUGUCUAUAUUACAAUGAUAUAUGUCUUUUAAAUAAAUAUUGUACAUUAUAUAUAUAUAUAUAUAUUAUUUAUUAUUUUUUAACUUUUAUGUUUCAUAUUAGUAUUGCAUUAAUAUUAUUACUUGAAAAAAAAUUAUAGUAAAAUUCAACGGUUUCAAGAAAAAAUAUGUUCAUUAAAAAUAUAAUAUUUAACAUUAUUUUUCAAUUUUAAUAUUUAUAUAUUUUUUUCAUUACUAAAAUUCUUUAAAAUGGAUAAUUUUAGUUACAUACAUUUAUUUUUCAAAAGAUAUCGCAUCACCAUUGUUAUCUGGAUGAACAAAAAAUUGCAAUAAGUUUUCAUAUACUUAAUUUUUAAGAUAAAAUAAAUUUAAUUAAAAAUAUAAUUAAUUAACUUUCUCAUUAAUAAUAUAAUUAUGUUUAACAUAAUAUUAAAUAUUUAAAAAUUGUUGUUUUUAUAUAUAUAAUUUAAAAAAACCCGUGCCACGCACGAUUCGAAAGUCUAAUUCUUGUAUUAUUAAUUUGAAUUUCUAUUUUAAAACGUGAAAAUGUUUUUAAUAUUUUUUAUGAUACAUGAUUUUAUCAUUAUUUAACACUUAUUUUUUACUUUUAAAAACUCCCACUUUAUAAAUUUUCUUUUCACAUCAAGAUCUUAGUUUUAAUUACCUUUAAGUUUCUACAUUAAAAAUUUCUUUUUACACCAGAAACUUCUGCUUUUAAGUAGACAAAAGCCAAAUAGUUAAGCUAAAGGUUUAAAAUUAGAUAUAUUAAUUAACCCCAGCUGAAGAGUUAGUCAAAGGAAGUAAGACUGAGCCUCACUUCCAACCACUCACAGUUUGAACUCUUAAUAUUUUUUUAGAAUAAGAUAAAUGUAAGUCUUGGAGGCGCCAUCCACCUCACAACAAUUUUAGUCACACACAGAAAAAAGAAGAAUUGGGUAUAUUAAGGCUUAACUUUUCUAAGAAAAGUAAAAAUUCUUAUAAUUAGUUUAAAUAAAACAGUGAAACUGGACCAAACGGCUGAGUGAUUAAGUAAAGGCAAGUAGAAUUCAACUUUUAAUUUAGACCUCUGCAAUUAGGCAUGGCAAUGUAACUUUGGAGAAAGACAAAUUAGUCACUUAUAAAAUAUGUUGCAAUGUUACCUGAUUUUCCCUGCUAUCCAAAACUGGUAACCCCCCUUUUGUUUCUCUUUUAUCUAAUAUGCUGCAAUGUUACCUGUAAGUAAUGUAACCCAAAUCGAUUCACUUAUGAAAUUAGUCACUUCUUGUUGAACUUUGAUACCGAGUGAAAUAUAAUUGUUUUCAAAAGUUUUUUUCUCGAUUAGUUUUUAAGUCAUAAUUAGCUAAAAUAAUAUUCAGAUAAUCCGUGUUUAAAUAAUAUUUUUCAUUAACAAAUAGGGAGAAGUGAGGUUAGUAUUUAAAAUAGUAGUUUGAUUGAGAAAUAUAAAUUGUUUUCAAGCACAAAAAUGUGCAUGAUGACGUUAGAGUAGUUACAUCUUCAAGUGUAAAAUAAUAAAAAAAAUGUAUAAAGGAGUUAUUUAACGGUUGGAUAUGCCCUCUCUUCUCCGUGUGUGAUUGCAUUUAUAUUUGUUAAUUAAGGACAUAAUGGUCUAAUAAAAGUAAACACUAAAAGUAGUUAACAAAAGUAAUAUUUCCUUUAUUAUCUAUUGUUGUAAAUAUUGAUAGGCAAUGACAGUUGAUGGAACGUGAACUAGAUUUUCUCAGCUAGUCAGCCAUGUAAGUUUUAUGACUAUAUAAGCUAUAUUUUUUUAUAUAUAUAUAUAUAUUCCCUUGGUCCCUGUUAGUGAAGCAAAUGCAAGAGAAGCCAGUGAAAAAAAAUCAUUGUUUAACCUUGUGAUCGAGACAUGAUUUGUUAAAAACAAUUUGUGAACCAGUAUCUAUAUCUAUAUCUAUAUUCUUAAUAAAUAAUUCGCUGCAAAAGAAUUUUUUUAGUGUGCAUAUCACAAUUAAUUACUUUUUUUUUUAAAGACGAAGAAGCCAUUUUUAUGUAUAGGCUCUUGAACUAAUUUUUUAAAAAUUAGAACCCUAAACUAAAAAAUAGGUCCCUAGGUUAGUUUAUGAUAGCUUGAAACUACCACAAAAUGAUAAUUUAUACCGAUUUAAAAAUCUUAGAGACUCAAUUAAAUUUCUUUUAUAUAGAUUUGGAUUGCGCUGCAAAAUAGCAGUAGAACUGUUCCAUACAUUUUUAAUUCAUGGUCUAAUUUAAAAGCAUUUUAAUUCAAACAUACCAAUUGCUAAGAGUAAAAUUCAAUAAAAAGAAUCGAUUGUAUGCAAAAUAUUGCAAGAAGUUAUGAAGGAAAUCUCAUGUUGCUUAAUAAACCGCCUACUCUGCAUAUAGGCAUUCCAACCCAUUUUAAUAGAAGGGCAUGCUCUUUGUUUGCAUUCAUUAGUGUGUAAAGGAUUCAAUGCAAACUUUGAUGGGAAUCAAAUGGUUGUUCACUUGCCUUUAUUUUUAGAAGUUCAAGCAUAAGUUUAUUUACUUAUGUUUUCUCAUACGAAUCUCUUGUCUCCAGCUACUGGGAAAGACCCAAUUAAAAAAUAAAAUUUAAAGACCUAUUUGAAAAUUCUCAAAUAGUUCAUACCCAAAACUUUAACUUAGAUAAAAAAAAAAAUCAUAGUCAAAAUGAUAGUGACGAUUCUAGUUUUAAUUAUUUUGAUUAUUUAGUACGUGCUAUGAAUUCAUUAUCAAUUCAAAUGUGAAGAAAAUAAUAUUGUUUCAAAAGGAUAUUAAUUACUAGAUUCGAAAAAAAAUAUAUAUUUUUUAUAAAUACACUACCGAGUAAUUUAACCAAGUUUAAAUUAUAAUUCUAUUUUUUUCACUGAAUAAAAUAUAUUUAUAUAAUUCUAAUGCUCUGUUUACUUCAAUGGCUAAUUGGUUAUACCUAUAUAUUCAAGCAUUGUUUUAAUGAAAGCAAACAAGAAAUAACAUAUAUGGCUAGGAAGAAUAGAACAAAAACAAAUUAGCCACAUAAAGUAAGCUCUUACAUAUUAUAAAAACAUGCCUAUGAUAUGUCCAUAGAUUUCAAGGGAGCUAAUACCGGAAAGCGUCAAGGAUUUUAUACUUUACAGCUAAAGUUUCAGUCUCAGAGAAAAUGAUGACACUGAAUCAUUGAGCAUACACAAUGAAUUACAUCACAAAAUCACUUUAGGGAUAUAUGACUCACAUUUGUUGUCAAAUAUCGUUGGCUCAAUGUGCGAAGCGAUUAAAGUAAUGGAUUCGCAGUAUAGGAGCAGGUAAGUCAAUUUUUUAUUCUAAAAUUCCCCGUUGAGAAUUUUUUUAUAUGUAAAAGAUAAUAUUAGAAAAUUUAUAAUAACUCACAUUUAGAGCUCCUGAGAUUUCACAUUGAGACUAUAUUAUAUAUUAGAAUCACGAGAUAUUCAACGAUUACUUUGUUGAUAUAUAUAUGUUAAGCCGCCACAUUGUUUAAAGUAUUUAAUUUAUAUGCAUUGUUACUAUAAAAUAUUAAUACACAAGGUAAAUAUUUCUACUACAUGUUCACGUAAAAAUAUUUUAUGUAAAUUAAACUCUUGUUUAAAAUGGUACUAGUACCUAUACAAGCAGAUUAAAUCUAUAAAAAUAUGGUCCAAAGAGGUAGAUUUUGUAUAGCAUCCCAUGCUUUGAAGAACGUAUAUCAACAUCCAGUAUAGUAUCUAGUAAAUUACUGACUAAAAUCUAGUGACGUGUACUGAAGCUUUCAGAAAUUCAACUAUUUGGAACUCGCUAUAUUAAUUUGUCCUAUUUAAGUGCACAGCAGUCAACUAAUCAUUUUUUUAUUAGAGAGUUAGAUACAAUUAUUGCAUGCAAAUGGAUGAUAAAGUAGCAUGUAGCAUCACCUUAUCGCACAUGUUAGUUAGCUGCAUGGACCAUCUCUAUGAUUUGUCAUGUGUCUUGUAGCUCAACUUCAGGACUAUAUAUGACCACUAUAGUGGAAACAGCAAAGAGAAAUGAAAUUGCCUCUUUCAAGAAGCAUCUGAGUGCUUAUUAUUUGUAAUAUAUAUAGUCACUCAAGCUUCUAGGAUUUGUGCCAGCUACAUGAAAAUGGGAAGCAACUUCAGGUUUUUGAGUCUUUGCCUCUUGGCAUUGAUUGCAUCAUCUCAUGCUCAACUUCAGCUUGGUUUUUAUGCCAAGAGUUGCCCAAAAGCUGAGCAAAUCAUUUUGAAAUUUGUUCAUGAACAUAUCCACAAUGCUCCAUCACUAGCAGCUGCAUUGAUAAGAAUGCACUUCCAUGACUGUUUUGUAAGGGUAUGUGGUUCAAGCCUAUACUUACCUUUCAUUUUUACUUAACAAGCAUACUAUGUUAGAUUAAGGAGCUAACUAACAUGAAGCAUUUCAGGGAUGUGAUGGAUCGGUGCUUCUGAACUCAACAACCAAUCAGGCUGAAAAGAAUGCUCCUCCAAAUCUCACAGUUAGAGGCUUUGACUUCAUUGACAGAAUAAAGAGCCUUGUUGAGGCUGAAUGCCCUGGUGUGGUCUCUUGUGCUGAUAUCCUCACCUUGGCUUCCAGAGAUUCAAUUGUAGCCACAGUAAGUGCUCAAUUUCUAUCAAGAAAAUCUUAAGAGUAUAAGUACAACUUCUGCUUCACCUUUAUUAUCUUUAUACUUUCUUUUUGAGAACAAGAAUAACCCAUUUGCGGGUUUGUGCCAUUACUGACUGAUUUUCAGGGUGGACCCUAUUGGAAAGUUCCAACAGGUCGAAGGGAUGGGGUCAUCUCUAACUUGGUGGAAGCCAGAAAUAACAUUCCUGCUCCAUUUGACAACAUCACUACGCUACAGACACUCUUUGCCAACCAAGGACUUGAUUUGAAGGACUUGGUCCUGCUCUCUGGUAUUAUUUGAAAGGCUUAAAUAUGUUUUUAAUCUCUCAAAUUUAAAAUAAGUUUAAUUUUGGUCUUCCUAAUUUCAAAUUGAUCUUUUUAUUCCAUAUAAUUUGAAGAAUGUCUUUUUUAGUGGCUCAACGUAAAUGUUCUUAGAGACUUGGCUUAUGUAGCUAACAAAUUAUAAGUUGUUUACAUGACAAAAGAUUAAUUUUAUAUUUGGAGGAAAAAAACAAAUUCAUUUUGAUUUUGCAUUUUGAGCAGAGGGACUAAAACACACUCUUUUUUUUCAAGUUAUAUGGACAAAAGAUUAAUUUUAUAUUUGGAGGAAAAAAACAAAUUUAUCGAAAUAACUAAAAACAUAUUUAAGCUUGAUUGAAAAUACACCUAAAUAUUUAGAGUUUGAAGUGGAUAAUUUUGUUUUUAAGGAAUUUGUUAAUUAUCUUUCAAAACUUUAGAAUGCUGUUUAGAUAAAGAUAAAAAUAAGUGUCUUGUUCCUAUCAUUCAUGCUUGCCUAUUUGCUUUUAAGGUUAGAACGUUGUUAGUAUUUGAAUUUUGUGUCUUGUUCUUGUGCUUGUAAUCACCAAGAGUUCAAAUUGUUUCAGGUGCUCACACAAUUGGUAUCGCUCAUUGCUCAUCAUUGUCAAACCGCUUGUUCAAUUUCACUGGCAAGGGUGAUCAAGACCCAUCAUUAGACAGUGAAUAUGCUGCAAAUCUGAAAACCUUCAAGUGCAAGGACCUCAAUAAGUUGAACACCACCAAAAUUGAGAUGGACCCUGGAAGUCGCAAGACAUUUGAUCUUAGCUACUAUAGUCACGUUAUUAAGAGAAGGGGUCUAUUUGAGUCAGAUGCUGCAUUGUUGACUAAUUCAGUUACAAAGGCUCAAAUCAUUGAAUUGCUUGAAGGGUCAGUUGAAAAAUUCUUUGCUGAGUUUGCAACCUCCAUAGAGAAAAUGGGAAGAAUUAAGGUGAAGACAGGGACAGAGGGAGAGAUCAGAAAGCAUUGUGCAUUUGUUAAUAGCUAAGAAUCUUGUCUUGUUCAUGGAUGAAUCUUGUAUCAUUUAUUUUUUGGGUUUGGUUAUUUAUGCGAUG